CAAAAAGGCGUCAGCAACAGACACACACAGGUAAAAGCUGAUAACCAUGCAAACCAUUCCCGUGACGCACAAACUCUCAGUGUGAUGUGCGAAUUUUCCAAGGUCGUGGACGGGAGCAAAAAAAAUGCAAAAAUAUGAAAUAAAAUUACCAAGGUAAAUUUGGUGAGUUUCGAUAUCCAUCUCUUCUUUCUGUUUUCGAUUCUUGUCUCAGAAUAUAAUUACAGGAAAAAAUUUAAUAUGCUGCAGUGGUAUACAGAAAUUAGUUCUAACCGCUUCCGAAUCGAGUAGGCCGAACAUACAGCGUGAAACGUCCUGAAAUUUGGGAACUUUGAAAUUUGAUAUGUGAUAUACAAUUUACGCAAUAAUGGAAUAUUUUAACGCAAAUGAUUUCGCCAAGGAUUUAUACUACUAACUACAGAGGGACUUCUUUGAUGGAUUGAAAAUAAAACUACGUGUAUAUACUCAACACUUUCAUUUCUUUUUUAACAGUCUAUAAAAUAUUGUGUAUAUGGCGCAACGGAACACCAAAUGUGUGAACGUUUUUGUUUUAAUAGUUAUUGUAGUAUAUACGAAAUUUAUAUUCGCAUCGUGUAAAUUUGAAAUAUACCAAUAAAAUAAAACAAAGGAUUAAUAUGAGAAUAAAUAAUACAUCUAGAAUUAAA